UUCUGUUUUUCUAUGAAUUCUUCCAUUUAAUCUUGAUGUUCUAAUUUACCAUCCUAGAGUUAUAAUGUGCAAUCUUCUGUCUGGCUUACCAUGAUGCUUGAAAGGUUCAUCCAUUCUGUAGCAUGUAUCAGUAUUUUACCUCAUUUUAUUGUCAAAUAAUAUUCCACUGUAGUUAUGUACAGUAUUUUGUUUAUCUUUCCACCAACUAAUAGCUACUGGGGCUUCUUUGUGAAUAAUAACUGCUAAGAACUUUUCUAUGUAAGUUUUUGUUGUUGUUGUUGUUUGAGAAUACAUUUAAAAAAUAUAGCUCCAUAGACACCUUUGUGAGAGGAGUAGCAAAUGGGCAAAGAAUGACAUUUGUUUAUUUUUAAUUUUUUAAGGGGUCUUGACUUACGCUGGAUGAUAGUCAGCAUAUACAGUGUGACUCUAAUCUCAAAUGAAAUGGCACCUCUGAUAUCAAAUUCAGGAAAGCUCCAAGUAUUGGAAAACACAGACUCGAAGAUCCCAGAAGUAAUGUAAGAGCUCACUGUCAACGUUAUGGAGAAAUAAAAGCCAGAAGAAAAACGUAUUUAAACCUCGCACUUCAUCUCCCAACUGCUGACUUCAGUACAUGAACCCACCAUCUCCUCUGCCUGUUUUGUUUACUGAUUUUUUUUUAACUCCCAGAUAACUAAAUUCACAUGUCACCCUCAAUGAGGCCUUAUUGGAUUGACUUUUCCUU
rnacentral:lncRNA from 1 species